rnacentral:rRNA from 4 species
UGCUGGAGGUAUCAGAAGUGCGAAUGCUGACAUAAGUAACGAUAAAGCGGGUGAAAAGCCCGCUCGCCGGAAGACCAAGGGUUCCUGUCCAACGUUAAUCGGGGCAGGGUGAGUCGACCCCUAAGGCGAGGCCGAAAGGCGUAGUCGAUGGGAAACGGGUUAAUAUUCCCGUACUUGGUGUUACUGCGAAGGGGGGACGGAGAAGGCUAUGUUGGCCGGGCGACGGUUGUCCCGGUUUAAGCGUGUAGGUGUGUGUUCCAGGUAAAUCCGGUUCACUUUAACACUGAGGCGUGACGACGAGGCACUACGGUGCUGAAGCAACAAAUGCCCUGCUUCCAGGAAAAGCCUCUAAGCAUCAGGUAACACGAAAUCGUACCCCAAACCGACACAGGUGGUCAGGUAGAGAAUACCAAGGCGCUUGAGAGAACUCGGGUGAAGGAACUAGGCAAAAUGGUGCCGUAACUUCGGGAGAAGGCACGCUGACACGUAGGUGAAGUGAUUUACUCAUGGAGCUGAAGUCAGUCGAAGAUACCAGCUGGCUGCAACUGUUUAUUAAAAACACAGCACUGUGCAAACACGAAAGUGGACGUAUACGGUGUGACGCCUGCCCGGUGCCGGAAGGUUAAUUGAUGGGGUCAGCGCAAGCGAAGCUCCUGAUCGAAGCCCCGGUAAACGGCGGCCGUAACUAUAACGGUCCUAAGGUAGCGAAAUUCCUUGUCGGGUAAGUUCCGACCUGCACGAAUGGCGUAAUGAUGGCCAGGCUGUCUCCACCCGAGACUCAGUGAAAUUGAACUCGCUGUGAAGAUGCAGUGUACCCGCGGCAAGACGGAAAGACCCCGUGAACCUUUACUAUAGCUUGACACUGAACAUUGAGCCUUGAUGUGUAGGAUAGGUGGGAGGCUUUGAAGUGUGGACGCCAGUCUGCAUGGAGCCGACCUUGAAAUACCACCCUUUAAUGUUUGAUGUUCUAACGUGGACCCGUAAUCCGGGUUGCGGACAGUGUCUGGUGGGUAGUUUGACUGGGGCGGUCUCCUCCUAAAGAGUAACGGAGGAGCACGAAGGUUGGCUAAUCCUGGUCGGACAUCAGGAGGUUAGUGCAAUGGCAUAAGCCAGCUUGACUGCGAGCGUGACGGCGCGAGCAGGUGCGAAAGCAGGUCAUAGUGAUCCGGUGGUUCUGAAUGGAAGGGCCAUCGCUCAACGGAUAAAAGGUACUCCGGGGAUAACAGGCUGAUACCGCCCAAGAGUUCAUAUCGACGGCGGUGUUUGGCACCUCGAUGUCGGCUCAUCACAUCCUGGGGCUGAAGUAGGUCCCAAGGGUAUGGCUGUUCGCCAUUUAAAGUGGUACGCGAGCUGGGUUUAGAACGUCGUGAGACAGUUCGGUCCCUAUCUGCCGUGGGCGCUGGAGAACUGAGGGGGGCUGCUCCUAGUACGAGAGGACCGGAGUGGACGCAUCACUGGUGUUCGGGUUGUCAUGCCAAUGGCACUGCCCGGUAGCUAAAUGCGGAAGAGAUAAGUGCUGAAAGCAUCUAAGCACGAAACUUGCCCCGAGAUGAGUUCUCCCUGAGACUU